rnacentral:rRNA from 1 species
UACCAGCACCCCGAGUGGUCGGGACGUUUAUUGGGCCUAAAGCAUCCGUAGCCGGUUCUACAAGUCUUCCGUUAAAUCCAGCUGCUUAACAGAUGGGCUGCGGAAGAUACUAUGGAGCUAGGAGGCGGGAGAGGCAAGCGGUACUCGAUGGGUAGGGGUAAAAUCCGUUGAUCCAUUGAAGACCACCAGUGGCGAAGGCGGCUUGCCAGAACGCG